rnacentral:rRNA from 1 species
UACGGAGGGGGCAAGCGUUGUUCGGAAUUACUGGGCGUAAAGGGCGCGCAGGCGGCUGCUCAAGUCAGGCGUGAAAGGCCUGGGCUCAACCCGGGAAUUGCGCUUGAGACUGGGCUGGCUUGAGUGCGGGAGAGGAUGGUGGAAUUCCCAGUGUAGAGGUGAAAUUCGUAGAUAUCAGGAGGAACACCGAUUGCGAAGGCAGCUCGCUGGAACGUUACUGACGCUGAGACGCGAAAGCGUGGGGAGCAAACAGG